rnacentral:piRNA from 1 species
UACAACCCUCAAGGACAGGGUAUU